UACAGAGGGUGCAAGCGUUGUUCGGAAUUAUUGGGCGUAAAGCGCGUGUAGGCGGCCUUGCAAGUCGGGUGUGAAAGCCCUCAGCUCAACUGAGGAAGUGCGCCCGAAACUGCAGAGCUUGAGUACCGGAGAGGAUGGUGGAAUUCCCGAAGUAGAGGUGAAAUUCGUAGAUAUCGGGAGGAACACCGGUGGCGAAGGCGGCCCUCUGGACGGUGACUGACGCUGAGACGCGAAAGCGUGGGGAGCAAACAGG
rnacentral:rRNA from 1 species